GAUGACAGACAGUGUGACUGUUGAGAAAAAGAGUCUGACAUAUUUCACUCCAGGGACUAUAACAGACAGGUGGGGUCAGUGGGGGUCUGGCCUUUGAUUGGCUGUUGCCGUAGGAACCAUAGGAGAGCUGCCAUUCUGGCUCAUUCUUACACUUUCUUCAGGUCAUCACCAUGGCAACCCAGAGAGAGAUUCCGUGAUGAAACACACAAUAUCAAAAUUAAGGAAUCUGAGCUGCUCCUUACCCAGUGCACACAGACCACAAAGCAUGAUGGGACAGAACCUGACUAGUGACUGACACUAAAACUUAUCAAGUUCUGCCAGCACAACUAAGGCUGCCUGAGGAAAACAUCAAAUAAUAAAAGAAUGCUCCACUAAUCUGAAGUAGUUAACAAUGGUGUGACAGAAUGGGUACGUAGACUUUGAAAUUCUUUUUUUUUUUUUUUCUUCAAAAGUUUAGUGACAAGUCCAAAAAUAACAGUGAUUUUGAAUGCAUCU
rnacentral:lncRNA from 12 species